GAGAUAAGGUCGUCGGCGCCAUUAUGCAAGGGCCCAGAACAGGAGUUGCGGGCAGUGUGGUGCUCUCAAAUGUUGUGGGCUUCGGCCACCCCAUUGGGCGUUCCCUCGAUCGGCGGCUUCCACCCCAUCUACUAACCUCACUUCAGCAUUGUUCCAUCGGCAUAGCCUUCCACGCCGACCUAGUGGAGGAAAGAUUCCUUUAUGGGUUGAUGCUACUAUCAACCUAUGAGUCCGUCCAAAAUAACGGGUGAGCAACAGUCAAAACUUUCUUGUUGGCUGGGGGUUUUUCAGCUAAUGAAAAGCCCCUGGGGCCUUUGUAAGAAAGAUGUCCUUCAGAAUUGCCUUAUGGGUUCCCGGAAAUCGAGUCGACCAAUCUCGCGUGGGGACUAUUCCCACUCCAGCCACCAAGCUCAGGUGAUUCCGGGUGGUAAUAGCUGUCGUACCAGCUAGAAGUAAUGUACCCCGGUAUCGAGUCGACCCUCUCGCGGACGGAACGUUCGUCCUCCAGUCGCCAAGCUAGGGCGAACCGAGGUGGUUCGUGAAAAGGAAAGCCUUUUGCACGUUAAAACGUGGAACUUUUGACCUAUUGCUUUCUUUUCUUAACGACUUUGUAGGAAAUCGUUGGUACUAAAUACGCUCACUUCCAACAAGCUCUAACGUCGCUGAAAAUGUCAGAAAAAAAGAUGGAGAUUGCCCCAAUAA
rnacentral:rRNA from 1 species